rnacentral:misc_RNA from 1 species
UUAAGUUCAGCGGGUAGUCCUACCUGAUUUGAGAUCGAACGUUCAAAAUGCUGUCUUCACUGAGGAAAGACGUUUGUAAGCCCCAGCAAACCUCCAUCACUGAAGGUUACCUGGCAGACGACCACAAGCGUAGAUAGUUAUCACACCCAUGGCGCCACCAAACACUGGUAAGCUGAUCCAUUUGAGAGGAGCUGACCGCA